rnacentral:rRNA from 1 species
AUGCAAGUCGAACGAGAAAGCGGGGGCAACUCCGCAAGUAAAGUGGCGACCGGGUGAGUAACACGUGACUAACCUGCCCUCGAGCGGGGGAUAACCCCGGGAAACCGGGGCUAAUACCGCAUAACGUCCUCGAUACGAAAGUAUUGAGGAUCAAAGGAGCAAUCCACUUGAGGAGGGGGUCGCGGCCGAUUAGCUAGUUGGCGGGGUAAUGGCCCACCAAGGCUGAGAUCGGUAGCCGGCCUGAGAGGGCGCACGGCCACACUGGAACUGAAACACGGUCCAGACUCCUACGGGAGGCAGCAGUGGGGAAUUUUGCGCAAUGGGGGGAACCCUGACGCAGCAACGCCGCGUGGAGGAUGAAGUCCCUUGGGACGUAAACUCCUUUCGACCGGGAAGAUAAUGACGGUACCGGAAGAAGAAGCACCGGCUAACUCUGUGCCAGC